rnacentral:rRNA from 1 species
CCUACGGGAGGCAGCAGUGAGGAAUAUUGGUCAAUGGGCGAGAGCCUGAACCAGCCAAGUCGCGUGAGGGAGUACUGCCCUAUGGGUUGUAAACCUCUUUUGUCGGGAAGCAAAAGCCGGACGUGUCCGGCUGUGAGAGUACCCGAAGAAAAAGCAUCGGCUAACUCCGUGCCAGCAGCCGCGGUAAUACGGAGGAUGCGAGCGUUAUCCGGAUUUAUUGGGGUUAAAGGGUGCGCAGGCGGAUUUUUAAGUCAGCGGUCAAAUCGUGGGGCUCAACCCCAUCCAGCCGUUGAAACUGGGGAUCUAGAGUGUGCGAGAGGUAUGCGGAAUGCGUGGUGUAGCGGUGAAAUGCAUAGAUAUCACGCGGAACCCCGAUUGCGAAGGCAGCAUACCGGUGCACAACUGACGCUCAGGCACGAAAGCGUGGGUAUCGAACAGGAUUAGAUACCCCGGUAGUC